ACAGGAAAAUGACCUAUGAAUUGACAGACAGUAUGACUAAGUUUGUCUGUCACUUCUGUAGGCCAAUAUUCUGU
rnacentral:pre_miRNA from 1 species